rnacentral:rRNA from 1 species
UGGGGAAUAUUGCACAAUGGGCGAAAGCCUGAUGCAGCGACGCCGCGUGAGGGAUGACGGCCUUCGGGUUGUAAACCUCUUUCAGUAGGGACGAAGCGCAAGUGACGGUACCUGCAGAAGAAGCACCGGCUAACUACGUGCCAGCAGCCGCGGUAAUACGUAGGGUGCGAACGUUGUCCGGAAUUACUGGGCGUAAAGAGCUCGUAGGCGGUUUGUCACGUCGUCUGUGAAAUCCUAGGGCUUAACCCUGGACGUGCAGGCGAUACGGGCUGACUUGAGUACUACAGGGGAGACUGGAAUUUCUGGUGUAGCGGUGGAAUGCACAGAUAUCAGGAAGAACACCGAUGGCGAAGGCAGGUCUCUGGGUAGUAACUGACGCUGAGGAGCGAAAGCAUGGGUAGCGAACAGG